CACGUAGGCGGCUUUUUAAGUCAGGGGUGAAAUCCUGGAGCUCAACUCCAGAACUGCCUUUGAUACUGAGAAGCUCGAGUCCGGGAGAGGUGAGUGGAACUGCGAGUGUAGAGGUGAAAUUCGUAGAUAUUCGCAAGAACACCAGUGGCGAAGGCGGCUCACUGGCCCGGUACUGACGCUGAGGUCGAAAGCGUGGGAGGCAAACA
rnacentral:rRNA from 1 species